rnacentral:rRNA from 1 species
AGCGAACGCUGGCGGCAGGCUUAACACAUGCAAGUCGAGCGGGCACUUUCGGGUGUCAGCGGCGGACGGGUGAGUAACGCGUGGGAACGUGCCCUCUGGUUCGGAAUAACUCAGGGAAACUUGAGCUAAUACCGGAUACGCCCUUUUGGGGAAAGGCUUGCUGCCGGAGGAUCGGCCCGCGUCUGAUUAGCUAGUUGGUGGGGUAACGGCUCACCAAGGCGACGAUCAGUAGCUGGUCUGAGAGGAUGAUCAGCCACACUGGGACUGAGACACGGCCCAGACUCCUACGGGAGGCAGCAGUGGGGAAUAUUGGCCAAUGGGCGCAAGCCUGAUCCAGCCAUGCCGCGUGAGUGAUGAAGGCCUUAGGGUUGUAAAGCUCUUUUAUCCGGGACGAUAAUGACGGUACCGGAGGAAUAAGCCCCGGCUAACUUCGUG